UGAAAAUAGGAAAGAGAAAAAUAGAAUGUCAUGUAAUGAAAUUUAAUAGGGGCCAAACUGGGCUAAAUUAUUAUGCUAUACUCCAAGCUUAUAACAAGAGCCUUGAAACUAAUUCAAGUUAGAAUUAAAUCAUUUCUAACAAGAACCUUCACGCACACUUCGUUAUGUUAUUUGACUUGAACAAAUUUGUCUUAUUUCAACUUAUGAUUCACGCAGUGAUCAAAGUCAUUACCUUUCUUCUUAACUCAGCUCUUGCAAAGAAGACGAUUAAUUGAAACUUAGCAAUUGAAAACACAAAGCUAUGACUAUUUAAUUAACUUAAGAGCAAACAUGAAAACCAACAACCAUGGAAGCUGAAAUCUGAAAAGGUGAUACACAAUGCAAGGAGCAAAAUUUAUGUUAAUUUACAAAUUUUGGUAAUUGUAUAUAUUUUUAUCUCGUUGGCACCUCCAUUAUCCGUGUACAAACUUGGAGAUCAAUUUAAACAACACAACAAAAACAGAGUGCCCGAAUUUUGUUACAUCAUUGAUCACACAAAUAAAUCUUGAUUUGAAGAUGUGGAACUCCAAUUUGAUAACCAGUUGAGAACAAGGCCCUUGCAAUUACUUCAAAUUAUUAUGAGGGGUGAAAAGAAAUUUUACACAGACAUUCCACAUUCCACACACUCUGAAAUAGUAAAGUAAAAAAGAAAAACAUGUUCUAUGUGACCUUGAGGGAAAUAGAAAACAAGCUCAUUUGCCCCCCAGGGCACAUCCAAGUUGGCGGAAC
rnacentral:lncRNA from 1 species